AUGAGUGCCGCCGGUCUUCAUAAACGCAACGACUCCGAGCCUCACUCAGUGCCCCGGUCGGCCAGUCCCCACUGGAAAGCGCAGCACCGCGUUCCUCUUCCUCCCAUGGCCGCCGUCCUCCUCCUCCUCCUAGCCCUCGCGCUCCCCGCCGCCACCAACGCGCUCACCGCCGACGGCCUGGCGCUGCUCUCCUUCAGGGCCGCCGUCCUGCAGGACCCCACGGGGGCCCUCGCCGACUGGAACGCCUCCGAUGCCGACCCCUGCUCCUGGAACGGCGUCGCCUGCGACGACGCCGGCGUCCGCCGGGUCGUCGCGCUCUCCCUUCCCAGGAAGGACCUCGUCGCCGCCCUACCGGCGUCCCCGCUCCCGGACUCCCUCCGCCACCUCAACCUCCGCGGCAACCGCCUCUACGGCACCCUGCCGCCCGCGCUCCUCGCCGGCGCCGCGGGGCUCCAGAGCCUCGUCCUCUACGGGAACGAGCUCUACGGGCCCGUCCCCGCGGAGCUCGGGGACCUCCCCUACCUCCAAAUCUUGGACCUCUCCUCCAACGCCCUCAACGGCUCUCUCCCCGGGUCGAUCCUGAAAUGCAGGCGCCUCCGCAGGCUGUCCCUCGGCCGGAACAACCUCACGGGCCCGAUCCCGCCGGGGUUUGGCCGGGAGCUCUCGGCGCUGGAGGAGCUCAAUCUGUCCUACAACCGGUUCUCCGGCGCCGUCCCGGAUGACAUCGGGAACCUGUCCAGGCUCGAGGGGACGGUGGACCUGUCGCACAAUGACUUCUCCGGGCCGAUUCCGGCGAGCCUGGGGAAAUUGCCGGAGAAGGUCUACAUUGAUCUCUCCUAUAACAAUUUGUCAGGGCCGAUUCCGCAGAAUGGGGCGCUUGAGAACCGUGGCCCCACGGCGUUCUUGGGCAACCUAGGGCUUUGUGGGCCGCCGCUCGAGAACCCGUGCUCGCCGCCAUCGUCCAACCCGUCUGUUCCAAAGGAUGGGGAGUCCGGUGCCGGGGGCAACGGGAGUGGGAGGAGCAAGGGGUUGGGGAAGGGUGACAUUGUGGCCAUUGUUCUGGCUGAUGUGGCAGGGAUCUUGAUCAUUGCCCUGGUGUUCUUCUACUGCUAUUGGAAGAGAGUUUCCCCCAAGGAGAAGGGACAUGGUGCGGCUACGGGCUCGAAAGAGUCGAGGUCUGGUUGUUUUAGCAGGGACGAGCCGGAGACUCCAUCAGAGCAGCACGACCUCGUGCUGUUGGACCAGAAACUGAGGUUUGAUCUCGAUGAGCUGCUCAAGGCAUCAGCUUUUGUGCUCGGGAAGAGUGGGAUCGGGAUUGUGUACAAGGUAGUUCUUGAGGAUGGGCUCACCAUGGCGGUGAGGCGGCUUGGCGAGGGGGGAUUGCAAAGGUUUAAGGAGUUUCAGAGUGAGGUUGAGGCCAUUGGCAAGGUCCGGCAUCCCAACGUUGUUGCCUUGAGGGCCUACUACUGGUCGUUUGAUGAGAAGUUGCUGAUAUAUGAUUACAUCUCAAAUGGCAGCCUCUCUUCAGCAAUUCAUGGUAAACCUGGGACAAUGACAUUCACACCAUUGACAUGGAAUGCACGUCUAAAGAUCAUGAAAGGAGUCGCGAAUGGGAUGUCUUUCUUGCAUGAAUUUAGUCCCAAGAAGUAUGUACACGGGGACUUGAGGCCGAACAAUGUCCUUCUUGGAACGAACAUGGAACCGUAUAUUUCAGAUUUCGGCCUCGGACGACUAGCAAACAUUGCUGGUGGAGCAGCACCUUCUUCGCAGUCAGAUAGGAUUGGCGUCGAAAAGGAUCAGAGUCUGCAGCCAGAUUCCUCAGUGAGCCCUCUUGUGAGCAAAGAAGGUUCAUGCUACCAAGCACCAGAAGCGUUGAAAACAUUGAAACCGUCGCAGAAGUGGGAUGUCUACUCCUAUGGUGUGAUCUUGCUCGAAAUGAUUACUGGUAGAUCGCCCGUCGCUCUCUUGGAAACUAUGCAGAUGGAUCUUGUCCAGUGGGUCCAGUUCUGUAUACAAGAUAAGAAACCAUCCGCUGAUGUGCUUGACCCUUUCCUCGCCAGGGACUCGGAACAGGAAGGUGAGAUGAUUGCUGUACUCAAAGUCGCUCUCGCUUGCGUUCAUGCUAAUCCCGAGCGAAGACCGGUGAUGAGAAAUGUCACAGAAACCUUGGAGCGCCUGAGCGCUUCAGUUUCAAGCUAG
rnacentral:rRNA from 1 species